ACUCCUCAUCCUGCAAAGGUUUUUCUGGAGGUUGUACGUUGCUAAACCGAUGCCUUGACACAACAGGACUCAUUGACCAUUUCUUUGCAGCUCCAACAGAGGAAGGAAAGCGGAAUUUCUCUUCAGGGAUGCUGAAAGAGGCAGCAAACAGUUGUCGGCAUCUUGAGAUGGGCCAGAACAUGUGACAUUUCCACAGCAAAGCCUGAAAACCCUGACUCGUUUGAGAAAAGAGUGCCAUCACAAGAUCAAACUGUCUCACUAUUAGCUCACUGUAUCUGAUGAAGUUAUAAAAUUAAAAAUACAGUUUGCAUGGGGAUGGUCAUCAAUAAAAGCCCAAGGGCUGUCAAGCUGUAUACGCUUCUGUUUCCAAAA